AGGGAAACCGAGUCUUAACCGGGCGUUAAGUUGCAGGGUAUAGACCCGAAACCCGGUGAUCUAGCCAUGGGCAGGUUGAAGGUUGGGUAACACUAACUGGAGGACCGAACCGACUAAUGUUGAAAAAUUAGCGGAUGACCUGUGGCUGGGGGUGAAAGGCCAAUCAAACCGGGAGAUAGCUGGUUCUCCCCGAAAGCUAUUUAGGUAGCGCCUCGUGAAUUCAUCUCCGGGGGUAGAGCACUGUUUCGGCUAGGGGGCCAUCCCGGCUUACCAACCCGAUGCAAACUGCGAAUACCGGAGAAUGUUAUCACGGGAGACACACGGCGGGUGCUAACGUCCGUCGUGAAGAGGGAAACAACCCAGACCGCCAGCUAAGGUCCCAAAGUCAUGGUUAAGUGGGAAACGAUGUGGGAAGGCCCAGACAGCCAGGAUGUUGGCUUAGAAGCAGCCAUCAUUUAAAGAAAGCGUAAUAGCUCACUGGUCGAGUCGGCCUGCGCGGAAGAUGUAACGGGGCUAAACCAUGCACCGAAGCUGCGGCAGCGAACGUAUCACUUAAAGCGAUUCAGCGGGUUACGAUUGACGGAGCGAAGCGACGUCAAAGCGUAUACAAAGUCGAGUCGGUUUAAGGAUACGUUCGUUGGGUAGGGGAGCGUUCUGUAAGCCUGUGAAGGUGGCCUGUGAGGGUUGCUGGAGGUAUCAGAAGUGCGAAUGCUGACAUAAGUAACGAUAAAGCGGGUGAAAAGCCCGCUCGCCGGAAGACCAAGGGUUCCUGUCCAACGUUAAUCGGGGCAGGGUGAGUCGACCCCUAAGGCGAGGCCGA
rnacentral:rRNA from 1 species